UACUCGAGUGGCGAACGGGUGAGUAACACGUGGGUGAUCUGCCCUGCACUUCGGGAUAAGCCUGGGAAACUGGGUCUAAUACCGGAUAGUAGCCAUUUUUAGUGUGAUGGUUGGAAAGUUUUUUCGGUGUAGGAUGAGCUCGCGGCCUAUCAGCUUGUUGGUGGGGUAAUGGCCCACCAAGGCGGCGACGGGUAGCCGGCCUGAGAGGGUGGACGGCCACAUUGGGACUGAGAUACGGCCCAG
rnacentral:rRNA from 1 species